rnacentral:rRNA from 1 species
UACACCUGAAAUGAGCAA